AUCAUGGCGGCCAUAUUCACUGGGCACAAUGGUGGUGUUGCUGUGGUUACGUGUUGCACAGUGUAGCUGGUCUAUCCAAAUGGGGUGGCCUGAAGUUGAGCAUUCUCGGCGGAGCAAUCUACGCGACGCAAAAAGCCGAUAGUAUGCAGACUACCGAAAACAUCAAAGCCUACAUCACCACCAACCCCACCGUGAAGUACUACUGCGCUUU
rnacentral:misc_RNA from 1 species